AUUAACUCUAAUCCCUUCUUCCUUCCAGGAAUCCAGAUCAUAGGCUGUAGUGGGGAACCCAGGAGCUGGGAAUCCAAGAGACAUGCCAGGCAAGAUGGUGAAGAAGUUUCUGAUACCAAGAACUUCCAAAGCCACCUGUUUCUUGAGAGUCCCCUGUCUGAUCUCUUACCCUUUCUAGGAACUGGUUCCAGUAAGAAGAAUGGCCUGCUUUUUGCUGACUUCCUGGUGACUUUUAAUAGGAGGAGUUUAUUUGGAGCCCACCCAGUUUAAAAAAUGUGAUGCUUGUUGUCAGCUAUGGGACAAGUAAAAUUUGUAUUAAUAUUCUAAUAGUGUGAUUGAUUCACAAGAGGGGCAGAAACCCCAAGGGAGGUCCCCGAAUACUUUGUCACCGGUCUCUGUCUGAGACAGGGUCAUAUGCCAGAUGUUUGC